CUUAUCUGGAAGUCUUUUUCACCUAGAUUUUUUACUAUUUAAAUUUGAUUCAAAAUAGAAUAGAAAUCUCUUAGAUUAGGGUGUGGAAGCUUUUUUUGUGUGACAAAAAAAAUUAGGGAAAGCUAGAUGUGCAUUAAUUGUGAGUUUUUGAUUUCUUUCUUGAAAUGCAACAUUAUCUCCACCUUUUUCAAUUUUUGUUUUGCUUUCAAU
rnacentral:lncRNA from 1 species